GUGAGAGAACCGGAGGGGCAUUUUCUUACAUACCACAUCAAAAGAUCCCAUUCAUUAAAAGCCCUGCCACUGAAAUUCUCCGUAUGUUAUAGAAGGGCAUAUUUAAAAUCUCAAGUGACUGCAGAGGACACCUACCCUAGAGAACCUCAAAUGGGAUGUCCUGGAACCUGGAGAAUUCAGAGGUGUCUCAGCUGUCAAUGAAGACAGGGAACAACAUUUAGUGUCCAGGUGACUCGGGCUAAAGGAUGGAGGCAAUGGAAAUUUCCUCAUGUUAAAAAGACAAGCAUUCUGGACUCUUUCCAGUCUGUUCUUUAAGAAAGGGGCUGCCCUUCCAGGCUUCAGUUUUAUCCUCCAUACCUCAGGUAAGCUAGAG
ensembl:lncRNA